CGCGUGGGCAAUCUGCCUCCAAGAUCGGAAUAACUCGCCGAAAGGCGUGCUAAUACCGGAUAAUAUUUUAGGAACGCAUGUUCCAAAAAUCAAAGAUGGCCUCUACAUGUAAGCUGUUGCUUGGAGAGGAGCCCGCGUACCAUUAGCUUGUUGGUAGGGUAACGGCCUACCAAGGCCGCGAUGGUUAGCUGGUCUGAGAGGAUGACCAGUCACAUUGGAACUGAAACACGGUCCAGACUCCUACGGGAGGCAGCAGUGAGGAAUUUUGCGCAAUGGGGGAAACCCUGACGCAGCAACGCCGCGUGAGUGAAGAAGGCCUUUGGGUUGUAAAGCUCUGUCAAGUGGGAAGAAACUAUUCGAUGCAAAUACCAUCGAGUACUGACGGUACCGCUAAAGGAGCACCGGGCUAACUCCGUGCCAGCAGCU
rnacentral:rRNA from 1 species